rnacentral:lncRNA from 1 species
AUUAUGUAUAUAUUAUUAUAUUGAUUCUGGGAAAAAUUAUACAUGUUUUACAGCGAGGGGUUAGAUAUGUUGAUAAAGAAAAUGAUUUUGUAAAACAUUUGUUUUUGCCCACUCACGUUUUCUGUUUUGCGCCCCUCCAGGUUUUAAGUAAACUUGUUGUUGGUGGCUAGAGGUCGUCGGUAGUUCUGACUUAUUUAUAUAAUAGUAGAACAUUCCUGGUUCUGUAUAACUAGUACUUGUCCUACUAGACUGCACCUAGACUUGAUGCUCUGAUUAGGAGUGUUUACUGUUGUAACUAACUUCUAUCACUUUCUGUUUAGUAGUGCACUCUAGUAAUAUGAUUUUUAAUUAUUAGUAUAUUUACUAUCUUUAUCGCUUUCGCACUGUGCACAUGGCUACGUCACUCUCACGUGACGGCCAGCAUGCCUUGACCUCGGUCGGGGUGUGUCAUUAUUCCUUUUCAACUUUUGAUCAAGGUUCUCAGGUUUUAAUAAACGUCAUUAAUUAUUUCAAUAGUAAAAUAUUUUUUACUUCGAAAUAUAUUCAUUUCAUAUUAGAAAUGUUACAUUUGAUAUAUUUAUAUUUAUAUGGUAUUAAAUAUUCAACAAAUGGCUCUACCAAACAAUCACAUUAAACAUAUAACUGAUUUACAUACAUGUCAAUUUAUAGAAGUGGGUUCAACUUUACAACUUUUACAUGCACAACUAUAUAUUAUAGGCCAUGACAAAUAAAAGAUUGGGACCAUGAAGAUAAAUCAAAGUACAUACCACAAUGUUCUCAUCUUGCAAUACACACAACAUUCCAAUAACAGUAGCUGAUAAGCAACGCCUUGUCUUUAUAUGAUUUAUAAUUGCCUUUUCUUCUAAUCUUUUGAUUUUUGUUACUCUAACAUAUGAUUUAUCAUUACCUUUUUGCUUUUGCUACUUUACAAGUGGCUCACACCACACUUGAUAAGUUAUCUGAUCACAUUUGAUAGAAAAAAUGAAACAUUGUUUGGGUUUUUUUUACAGCGGGCUCAAACCUCGGGGUGUUGUUACGCAAUUAGCUCAUAGGAUUAAGAUGAAGAUCACACGGUGUGUCACUCAAACAUCGAACAUAUUUUGAUCUGGUAUUCUGGUUGACAUUUUUUAUGGGGAUUGGUUGUAGGAGAAACCAUAGUCAAUGUUCUAACAGAUGCUAGGCAUUAGUCGAACG